CCGUCGCGUUAUGUAUAUUGACCCUGCUGGUAAACCCUCUGCCAGCCUUAAACUCAUCUAAUUCGGUGGAACUCUCCCUGAGACAAUACCGAGCGAAGCCCGCUACAGUUGGUGGGAACGUGUAGAGACUAUCGUAAGGCCAAGUGGCUUGAAACGGUGAGAGGCGCAAGCCUAAGAUAUAGUCCGAACUACAUGGCGACAUGUAG
rnacentral:ncRNA from 1 species